rnacentral:rRNA from 1 species
AGUGAACGCUGGCGGUAGGCCUAACACAUGCAAGUCGAACGGCAGCACAGUAAGAGCUUGCUCUUACUGGUGGCGAGUGGCGGACGGGUGAGGAAUACAUCGGAAUCUACUUUUUCGUGGGGGAUAACGUAGGGAAACUUACGCCAAUACCGCAUACGACCUACGUGUGAAAGCACGGGAUCUUCGGACCUUGCGCGAUUGAAUGAGCCGAUGUCGGAUUAGCUAGUUGGCGGGGUAAAGGCCCACCAAGGCGACGAUCCGUAGCUGGUCUGAGAGGAUGAUCAGCCACACUGGAACUGAGACACGGUCCAGACUCCUACGGGAGGCAGCAGUGGGGAAUAUUGGACAAUGGGCGCAAGCCUGAUCCAGCCAUACCGCGUGGGUGAAGAAGGCCUUCGGGUUGUAAAGCCCUUUUGUUGGGAAAGAAAAGCAGCAGGUUAAUACCCCGCUGUUCUGACGGUACCCAAAGAAUAAGCACCGGCUAACUUCGUG